UCUGGUAGUGUUAGGAAUAAUAGUAUGACUUAAAUUCUAACAUACUCCGUUUUUAAGACUAACCCGAACAAAUUAAAAACUCCAACAAUCACGAAUAAAACCGAACACAAACUCCGUUUUUAAGGCCAAAAUAUUGGCCCAACAGACCAACAUAUAAAAUACUAAAACCCUAAUAUCACCAAAUUAGCCAGCCCCAAACCUCUCAUUCCUUCCAACCCUAAUUCUCUCUCCUCAAGGCUCCCACUCUCUCCCUGGCGGCUGCCUGCCUGCCUCACCUCGCCGGCGGUCGUCCCCUCAAUCAGUCAUCUUUCAUUCUCGGUCUCCCCUACUCUCCUUCCCUGCUUCAUAAAAAAUUCAAAGGGCUUUAAUAAAAUGUCAAUGAUCUUGAAACCAUUGAGAUCGAGGAGUAAUUUAAUGAUCAAAUUAUCGAGGUGGUGCUAAUCCGAGUCGCUGCUGACUUGCUGUUGCUUUGGAGCUGCUGGCUGCUGCUAUUGUUGUUUUAUUUUAUUUUAGAACUAAUUCAUAAUUUUUGACUUUGAUUCUAACUUUGUUCUCUUAAAUUUUAAUGGUGUUGGUGAUCCGAUUAAGGACUUUGUAAUAAUUAAUUUAUUGUUAAAGAUUGGUAUUAAUUGCAAAUUGUUAGUUUAAUGGUUGA